GACGUGCAUUUCCUUGACGUUAGCAAGCAAGACACACCCCAGCGAAGGGAUACAUUAAGCCUGUGCUGGUGUGGUUACAAGGCUCUGCUCCCAUGGGUUCAGCUUACCUGCAGCAAUAUAUUAUCCAGUGGAGAGCUUCCCAUCCUGUGUGCCUUGACAGCAAAUAACAGUGAAGAACAGAGACCAGCUGCGUCGUUCGUGCCUCUCCCUCCAGAAGCCAUUUCUCCGGUUCAGGAUGCCAGCUGCAGGGAGCCGCGCGGGGAAUGACAAUGCCCUAUGCAAAUACAACGCAUCAGCCGUAAAGCUGCUCCACAGCCCCCGCCCCUGCUGGAAGCACAGGAGGAGGCAGGAAGGCAAAGCCUGGCCCUGGGAGGGGCCACAGCUCCCUUGGUGCAACUGGGAGGCAGACAUUGACUGCAGGAGGUGGCAUGAACUCAGUGUUGGCAUUGAGCUACAGCAGUGAGGGACAAAAUGACACGGAGACCCAGAAUGAGGAAUCUCCAGUGGGAAAUUAUCAUCAUGUAAAUGUGAAAGAUGGGAAUCACUUCCACUGGAGUUUCAAGGACAGA